UUGUGUUCUAUUUUCUUAUGGGAAAGUUCAAACUUGUAUUUUCUUCACGGUCGUGUCGAUCACGUCAUAAUGGUUACAAAUAUUCCUAAUCGUCAACAAGUAGGUAGUGAUUAUACUAAUAUAUUAUUAUUAUUAACGUUGGAGUCAAUCAAUUUGUAUUCUUAUCUUAAUUCGUUGUCGGUAGGUGGUCCUGCAGCUGGUUCCGAUUGUCUUAUGCUAUUAUUAUUGGCAAUUGCAAUUUGCAGAUUUGUUCGCUAGAUUCUUGCUGAGAUGAAAUCUGAAAGCACCGAUUGGACAUGUCUAAAGCAAUUAACCAAUGGUAGUCAAUUACUAAAUUCUCGAUAAAUUGUGCAAAAUUCAAUACAAUUUAGAGCUUUGAGUCACUCCACA